GGAGAAAAGCAGGGGAUCGCAAGACCUUGCGCUAAAGGAGCGGCCGAUGUCUGAUUAGUUAGUUGGUGGGGUAAAGGCCUACCAAGGCAACGAUCAGUAGCUGGUCUGAGAGGACGAUCAGCCACACUGGGACUGAGACACGGCCCAGACUCCUACGGGAGGCAGCAGUGGGGAAUUUUGGACAAUGGGCGAAAGCCUGAUCCAGCCAUGCCGCGUGAAUGAAGAAGGCCUUCGGGUUGUAAAGUUCUUUUAGUUGGAAAGAAAAAAUUAUGAUGAAUAAUCAUAAUUCAUGACGGUACCGACAGAAAAAGCACCGGCUAACUACGUGCCAGCAGCCGCGGCAAUACGUAGGGUGCAAGCGUUAAUCGGAAUUACUGGGCGUAAAGGGUGUGCAGG
rnacentral:rRNA from 1 species